GAAGUGCCGAGCCAGGAGAGGCGGUGAGAGUACCAGGACUGGCGGUCGAAGGGGAGGAGGAGCGCGAUGGCCUGGCCGCCGAUCCAUGUCUCGAUGCCGCACCAGCCGCAGGCGACGAGGGCGCGGAGGAGGGCGGGGAUGUGGGCGCCGUUGAUGCCGAAGCUGGAGCGAAGGAGGACGGGGAAGGGGAUGCCGUAGCGGGUACCGGGGUGGGCGGUGAGGACGAGGGG
rnacentral:misc_RNA from 1 species